CUACGGGACGCACCAGUGGGGAAUUUUGGACAAUGGGGGCAACCCUGAUCCAGCAAUGCCGCGUGAGUGAAGAAGGCCUUCGGGUUGUAAAGCUCUUUUGUCAGGGAAGAAACAGCAGCUCUAACACAGUCUGCGAAUGACGGUACCUGAAGAAUAAGCACCGGCUAACUACGUGCCAGCAGCCGCGGUAAUACGUAGGGUGCAAGCGUUAAUCGGAAUUACUGGGCGUAAAGCGUGCGCAGGCGGUUAUGUAAGACAGGCGUGAAAUCCCCGGGCUUAACCUGGGAAUUGCGCUUGUGACUGCAUAGCUAGAGUAUGUCAGAGGGGGGUAGAAUUCCACGUGUAGCAGUGAAAUGCGUAGAGAUGUGGAGGAAUACCAAUGGCGAAGGCAGCCCCCUGGGAUAAUACUGACGCUCAUGCACGAAAGCGUGGGGAGCAAACAGGAUUAGAUACCCGGGUAGUC
rnacentral:rRNA from 1 species